rnacentral:rRNA from 1 species
UGCAAGUCGAGCGCGUGAAUCAACAUGAUCCCUUCGGGGUGAUUGUUGUGGAUCGAGCGGCGGACGGGUGAGUAACACGUGGGCAACCUACCCAUGAGAUCGGGAUAACUCCGGGAAACCGGAGCUAAUACCGAAUAACCCAGUGAACUGCAUGGUUCACUGGUAAAAGGCGGUUUCGGCCGUCACUCAUGGAUGGGCCCGCGGCGCAUUAGCUAGUUGGUAAGGUAACGGCUUACCAAGGCAACGAUGCGUAGCCGACCUGAGAGGGUGAUCGGCCACACUGGGACUGAGACACGGCCCAGACUCCUACGGGAGGCAGCAGUAGGGAAUCUUCCGCAAUGGACGAAAGUCUGACGGAGCAACGCCGCGUGAACGAUGAAGGUCUUCGGAUCGUAAAGUUCUGUUGUUAGGGAAGAACAAGUACCAGAGGAAAUGCUGGUACCUUGACGGUACCUAACCAGAAAGCCACGGCUAACUACGUGCCAGCAGCCGCGGUAAUACGUAGGUGGCAAGCGUUGUCCGGAAUUAUUGGGCGUAAAGCGCGCGCAGGCGGUUUCUUAAGUCUGAUGUGAAAGCCCACAGCUCAACUGUGGAGGGCCAUUGGAAACUGGGGAACUUGAGUACAGAAGAGGAGAGUGGAAUUCCACGUGUAGCGGUGAAAUGCGUAGAUAUGUGGAGGAACACCAGUGGCGAAGGCGACUCUCUGGUCUGUAACUGACGCUGAGGCGCGAAAGCGUGGGUAGCAAACAGGAUUAGAUACCCUGGUAGUCCACGCCGUAAACGUUGAGUGCUAGGUGUUAGG